GAACACGGUCACAGUAGCCAGGACACACCUGUUCCCUUUCCGAACACAGAAGUUAAGCUGGUUACGUCUGUUGCGUUAGUCUCCGACAAGAGGCGAAACUCAGAUGCUGUGUUCG
rnacentral:rRNA from 1 species